GCACAGGCAGGGAGCUGUGUAGUGUCUUGCUUUCACCCUACCCUCAAAAGCCUGAAGCAAUGACAAAGGCUGUUCAAAGUGCUGAGGAACCAAGGAAAUGUACAUAUUUGGCUUAAUUCAUAAAACUGUCAUUGAAGGCCAGCUAAGAAGACGAAGAUUUUUGUCCAGGAUCUGCAGCUGUGAGACCACAGAAAGUUUGUUGACUCAUGACCUAGAUGACUGCAAGAGCCUACAAUGAAGUCCCUCUGCAAACAGAAGCAAAAGGCACAGUCUGCUCCUCCUAAAGCAAGUCCACAUCUCUACUCCAGAAAAGAGCAAACUAUUUACAACUAUUUAAAUACAGCCUUUUCAUCUUAAAAAUUACAUUAAGUUUCUGGAAUUCUGAUAUACCCAAUUCCAAGAUGGUCAUUUUCUGCUGCUAUGGCCCAGUUUGUGCCUUCAAGGACUGACUGUGUAAAAAAGAGCCCAGAAACUCUUUGAACUGACUUACAGUAGCUUCUUCAGCAGUCAGCUGUAACGAUGGCUGGAGCACCUGGUACCUGAGUGAGGGCCAAGAAUGGGCUCUGCAUGUGCCCUCCCUCAACAAUUGCCCACCACCCAUUCUCACACAAAUGCAGUGGGGGAUGAACCUGUAGGGAUGGGUAAUCAGCCUGAAAGGAACAAUUUUGCAUAUGUGUAAAAUCUGAAAAAAUAAAUUAUUAUUCAUGGGAAACAUGCCACUAAUAUGAUAGAGAAGAAAAAGUUUGAUAUUUGGUGUCUGAACAUUUGGGUGUUUCCAGACCUAUCUCUGCCAUUUACUCUAUGAUUAAGACUUCACGACAUAAGUUUUCUGAGUCUCAUCUUCCCACCUCUUAAAGGUGCCUAAUGACAAUACCUGAAACCACUUUGCCAUAAAACAUUUACUGCAUAUUGUCAAUGCAUACUAGGUAUGAUACUAGGCACCAGCAAUAUAAAAACAAAUGAAAUGUGGCACCUGCUCUCAAGACUUGAAAGAAGCUAUAAUGUAAAGCAUCGAACUACAGGAGAAAAGUGGGAAUCUUUCCUUUUUCACAUCCAUAGUCACUAAGGCCAUUUGUCGACUGAGCAAAUGUAUAGUACAGAAAGCUGUUAGACUAAUAUCUAGUGAUUAAACUGUACUUAAGGGAGAGAAUGGCCUUUAAGUAGCAAAAAUCUCUCAUGGGUUAUUUUGUUAUUUAAAAGUGGCACUGGCGAGGGCUAGGAUAAAACAGUUAAACAGUUUUACCCAGGAAAUAAACCACAAUAUUGGAGAAGGAGGUUUAAAGUACUAGAAAAGAGAGAAGGAGGAAGAGAAAUAGUAAGAAUGCAGGCUGAGCUGAAAUAAUUUCCAUGAUCAGCUGUAAAGUUGCACACUUUUACAUGCAUACUCUGAUGUUGGAUUGUCAGUAAAAGUCUGCUAUCCACAAUUAUUAUCUUUGAGUUUGGGGAAAAUAAAUUAAAAGGAAAUGUUUGCCAAUCAUUGAUGAAUGGCAGUGGGAGAAGUGAAGAGAUGGAGAAUAAGAGAGACCUGAACCAGGGCCGGAAUCCCUGGAGUCCUCAUAGAACAUUAUAGGACAUUGAGAUCCCACCAUCUGUAGAAUAGGGUUUUAAGCCAAUGUAUACCUUAAUUGUGAUAAACAAGGGGAUCCCUGCAAGCUGAAGAUCCAGGGAACAGGUGGAGACAGACACAGAAGAAAUGAGGAAAUUAAUGAAUAAAAAGUCAAGAGCAUGAGAGGAAGGUAGACAUGACUUUGAAGGAAAGUCAGGCAAGAAUGUAUGGUUAUACUCUGUUGUCAGCAGGGAAUUACUUUAUAAAGUAGAAAGAGAAGCCCAAAGAGCAUCUUUUCCCCAGGGUAUAGUCAAGAGAAGAGAAGAGAUGGAAAGCCAUUUGGAAAAAGUGAUGGGGAAUUCAGGCAUCGGGUCAACACCAAGGUAAGUGGGAAGAACUCAGUGGGCCUGGCAUUGCUGGCAUAAAGAGAAGGUCCCUGAGGGCAGAAGGACACCUUCCAGACAGACCUGCUGUUUCUCCAAAGGGGUGCUUGCUUCACAUCCUUAUAUAUUUUUUUCCAGUCUUUACCUGAUGCCUGAGACCUGGCCCUUCUAAUUCUUUACACUGAAAGACCAGAAAAUUUUUUAAAAGAGAAAAAGAAAGAAAGAUAAAGAAAAAAGAAAGAAAGACAAGCAUAGCAUUUAUAGAAACAUGAGAACUUCUGCAGGGGUGCAGACCCAUCUUUGAAAAUGAUUCUUUGGAAGAGGCCUUUAGUGCCAAAUACUUGAGUUGCUGCCAGUCUGUUAUGACUCCUUCUUUAUCAUUUCCCCUCACAUGAGGCAGAUCGAGACAGAUCCACAUUCCUUCCCCUGUGUUUGGGGCCCACUCUCAGUCAUUGUCAGCUGCUGGUUUGCUGAGGUUCUUGGGGUUGAAAAAAUCCACCUGGUGGCUCCAUCUCUGUUUGCUGCAACAUUUAUGUAGAUGGGGUGUCAUCUGGGAGUCAUGGCAGCAGAGACACAACAAACAAAAGCAACCCACUGGCUUCCAGGGUGAACAGCAAAUUCCUCUUUAGCUCCCUAGAAUGUUUAUGGAGUAGCUGAGUAGCCACACAUCCUUGAUCCUCCAAAGCCAGAUAGUGGGCAGCUGUUGCAAAUUCUUUCUGAAGAGCUUAUACAUAAAAUAAUUCUUGCUGAACUUAACCAUAUCACCAUGAAAAAGGACAUUAAUCUCAUUUAUGAGGGCUCCACCUUAAUGAUCUAAUCGCCUCCCAGAAGCCCCACUUCCAAAUACCAUCACACUGGGGAUUAGCUUUCAACAUAUCAACUUUAGGGGGACACAAACAUUCAGAGUGUAGCAAUCCCUGUGCCCACUUUUUUUCCUCUAGGAUGGUCAUAUCACCAAAUGGUCUUCUGCUGCCAUUUGGUGAUAACUGUCCCUCUAUGUUCUCUCUUCCUUCCUUUCCUCCUUUCUCCUUUCUUCUUUCCUUCCUUCCUUCUUCCUUUCUCCUUUCUUCUUUCCUUCCUUCCUUCUUCCUUCCUUCCUAUGAAUUGAGCAACUAGUAGAUGCUAGGUCCUAUGAUUAGAAAUGAGAAUGUUACCAAGAACAAGGACAUUAUCUUUAUCCUCAUGGAACUCAGAGUUGAAUUGAAGAAAACAGCACACACAUGACCAAUAGAGAAAACACAGGCUAUGAAAAAAGGAAGAGUGAUUCCCUAAUCAAGCCAUGGGCUUUCAGGGAAAGCCUCCAUGAGGUAGUCAGGUCUGAGAUGGGCUUUAAAAAAAAAAAAGUCAAACAAAUGGAGAAAUGGUGAACAGGUAUCUUCCUGGAACACGGUACAUGUGCAGCCAUGAAGGAUCGAGAAAACCCAAGGCAUAUUUGAGGGCUGCCCAGCCAUGCAGGUGUAGAGUAUGCUUAUGUCUGAGGGGUGGGGCUUAGGCCCAGGCAGAAGUGAGACCAUAAAAUCAACUAAACAUGCAUUAAAGAUUGAAACCUAAGACCUGGAGCCAUAAAAUGCCUAAAAGAAAACAUGAAGGGGAAAAGCUUCAUGACCUUGGACUUGGCAAUAAUUUUUUGGACGUGACAUCAAAAGCGCAAGCAACAAAAGCAAAAUCAAACAAGUGAGACUGAACUAAAAUCUUCUGCACAGCGAAAGAAACAAUCAACAGAGUAAAAAGGCAACAUACAGAAUGGGAGAAAAUAUUUGCAAACCAAAGAUCUGACAAGGUAUUUAUAUCUAAGAUAUGUAAGAAACUCAAACAACUCAAUAGCAAAAUAAAUAAAUAAAUAACGAUUUAAAAAUGGGCAAAGGACUUGAGUAGACAUUUCUCCAAAGAUGACAUACAAAUGGCCAAUAGGUAUAUGAAAACAUGCUCACUAUCAUUAAUCAUCAGAGAAUGCAAUCAAAAGUACAAUAAAAUAUCAACUAUUAGAAUGUCUAUUAUCAGAAAAAAGAUAAAUGUUGGCAAGAAUAUAGAGAAAUUGGAACCCUUGUACACUGUUGGGAAUGUAAAAAUGGUGCAGUUGCUGUGGAAAAUAGUGUGAAGUUCCCUCAAAAAAUUAAACAUGGAAUUACUAUGUGGCCUAGCCCUCUCACUUCUAGGUAUAUAUCCAAAAGAAUUAAAAUUAAG
rnacentral:lncRNA from 10 species